rnacentral:rRNA from 1 species
GAUUAGAUACCCUAGUAUAAAAAAAAGAUAAAAAUUAAUAUAAUUGAAAAUUAAAGAUGUUGGCGGUUAAUUUUUUUGUAGAGGAGCUUGUAAUUAAUAGAAUUGGCUCUUUAUAUUUUAGUAGUAAAAGACUUAUUCAUCUCCGUUAUCAAAUAAGUUUAAAUAAAUAUUUUUAAUAUAUCAGGUCAAGAUGUAGUGUUUAUUAAAGAUUAUUAGCUACAUUUAUAUAAUAUAUGGAGAAAUGCUGGGAGAUGAAUUUUGAAAUUGAAUUUAAUUGUAAUAGUAAUUAGAAAGUUAUUAUGAAUGUAAUUAAUUAGUGUACAGAUUGCCCGUCACUUCUAUUAUAGGUAGAAUAAGUCGUAACAAAGUA